GGACAAUCCCACGCUGACUGAGAAUGAGGCUUUGGGUGUGUGAAAGUGAACGGCUGGUGUGAGACCUGCAGGGCUGCAUCGGAUGAAGCAGAAGAUAGCGAGGGAGAGAUGCUUCUUCACAGGCUCCCGCUUCUCAGAUGGCAGCCCUCACCGUGACCGGUCAAGUACAAACCAGGUUGACUAUCUGGUAUAGUCUGCAGGAUUUAGAGUGUCUUCCCCUGACCACACGGUGUUUCUCUCUGAAAGCGGCACUUGGUACCAGCACAAACUCUGUCUUCAGAAGUCCCACCAGGUGUUUUGGGGCACCAACUAUCAGGCCUCCCGGAUGGUAUCAAGGAGCUCAAACUCACCAGGUCACCACAUCUGGACAAUGAGAGGCCAAACCCCUCACCCGCCAUGACUGCCUAACCACCCACCUGCUGCCUGUUGACUGACUCCUCUUCCUUAUCCCUCCCUAGUUCCUGUUUUCCUGCAUAGACGGGCUUUCACGGUGUUAGCCAGGAUGGUCUCAAUCUCCUGACCUGGUGAUCCACCCGCCCUGGCCUCCCAAAAUGCUGGGAUUACAGGCGUGAGCCACCACGCCCGGCCUUGGCCCUGUUUCUUAAUGGGCUCUGCCCUGAGUCCAUUGGUCCAGUUGGAAAACAGACUAAACCGAAAGCUACCUAUACAAAUGACAUUGGCCUCCCUAUAAAAUCCUAUGGUAAGUUACCUUGGCACCCCUUUUUAAUUUUCC
rnacentral:lncRNA from 10 species